UCAUUCUGCCCUUACAUAGAGCGUCAUCCUGCCCUUACAUAGAGCGUUCAUUCUGCUCUUACAUAUAGCGUUCAUUCUGCCCUUACAUAUAGCGUUCAUUCUGCCCUUACAUAUAGCGUUGCCUGCCCUUACAUAUAGUAUCAUUUUUCCGAUACAUAUAGCGUCAUCCUGUCGUUACAUAUAGUGUCAUCCUGCCGUUACAUAUAGCAUCAUCCUGCCGUUACAUAUAGCAUUGCCUGCCCUUACAUAUAGUGUUCAUCCUGUCGUUACAUAUAGCGUCAUCCUGCCGUUACAUAUAGCCCCAUCCUGCCGUUACAUAUAGCAUUGCCUGCCGUUAC